GCUAACGCCGGGCCAGGAGACGCGAUAAGACGGAGGGUGCAAGCGUUAUCCGUAAUCACUGGGUUUAAAGGGUGCGUAGGCGGAGAAUUAAGUCAGUGGUGAAAUCCUGUCGCUUAACGAUAGAACUGCCAUUGAUACUGAUUUUCUUGAAUUGGGUUGAGGUUAGCGGAAUGUGACAUGUAGCGGUGAAAUGCAUAGAUAUGUCAUGGAACACCAAUUGCGAAGGCAGCUAACUGGGCCUUGAUUGACGCUGAGGCACGAAAGCGUGGGUAGCGAACAGGAUUAGAUACCCGUGUAGUC
rnacentral:rRNA from 1 species